UUAGUACUCCCUUCGUCUCAAAAUUCUUGUCUUAAAUUUGUCUAGAUACAGAUGUAUCUAAUACUAAAAUGUGACUUGAUACAUCCGUAUUUAGACAAAUCUAAGACAAGAAUUUUGGGAUGGAGGAAGUAUUAU
rfam:Triticum aestivum genome assembly, contig: Triticum_aestivum_CS42_TGACv1_scaffold_472246_6AL